CGAUCUGGCUCAGGAUGAACGCUAGCUACAGGCUUAACACAUGCAAGUCGAGGGGCAGCAUGAUCUAAGCUUGCUUAGAUUGAUGGCGACCGGCGCACGGGUGAGUAACGCGUAUCCAACCUUCCCUAUAGUAGAGGAUAGCCCGGCGAAAGUCGGAUUAAUACUCUAUGUUUUCCAAUGCAGACAUCUAAAAUGGAACAAAGGUUUACCGCUAUAGGAUGGGGAUGCGUCUGAUUAGGUUGUUGGCGGGGUAACGGCCCACCAAGCCUACGAUCAGUAGGGGUUCUGAGAGGAAGGUCCCCCACAUUGGAACUGAGACACGGUCCAAACUCCUACGGGAGGCAGCAGUGAGGAAUAUUGGUCAAUGGGCGAGAGCCUGAACCAGCCAAGUAGCGUGCAGGAAUGACGGCCCUAUGGGUUGUAAACUGCUUUUAUACAGGGAUAAAGUGCGCCACGUGUGGCGUUUUGUAGGUACUGUAUGAAUAAGGACCGGCUAAUUCCGUGCCAGCAGCAGC
rnacentral:rRNA from 1 species